rnacentral:rRNA from 1 species
GUCUCAGUACAUGCCGCACUAAGGUGAAACCGCAAAAGGCUCAUUAAAUCAGUUAUGGUUCCUUGGAUCUUAAACAGUUACUUGGAUAACUGUGGUAAUUCUAGAGCUAAUACAUGCAAACAAGUCCCGACCAGAGAUGGGAGGGACGCUUUUAUUAGAUCAAAACCGAUCGGCGUCCGGCUCCGGCCGGCGCCGUCUCUUUUGGUGACUCUGGAUAACUUUUAGCCGAUCGCACGGUCACAGUACCGGCGACGCAUCUUUCAAAUGUCUGACUUAUCAACUGUCGAUGGUAGGCUCUGCGCCUACCAUGGUUGUAACGGGUAACGGGGAAUCAGGGUUCGAUUCCGGAGAGGGAGCCUGAGAAACGGCUACCACAUCCAAGGAAGGCAGCAGGCGCGCAAAUUACCCACUCCCGGCACGGGGAGGUAGUGACGAAAAAUAACGAUACGGGACUCAUCCGAGGCCCCGUAAUCGGAAUGAGUACACUUUAAAUACUUUAACGAGUACCAAUUGGAGGGCAAGUCUGGUGCCAGCAGCCGCGGUAAUUCCAGCUCCAAUAGCGUAUAUUAAAGUUGUUGCGGUUAAAAAGCUCGUAGUUGGAUCUGUGUGCCACGCUGUCGGUUCACCGCCUGUCGGUGUCAACUGGCAUGUCUGUGGGACGUCCUGCCGGUGGCGGUACGGGCUGCCGGCGCUGCGUAGGGGCUCGCCCCCGAAGCACGCCGGCGUGUCCCGGUCCGCCGAUCCAAUCCCGCCGCGGUGCUCUUCACUGAGUGUCGAGGUGGGCCGGCACGUUUACUUUGAACAAAUUAGAGUGCUCAAAUCAGGUCGUAUU